rnacentral:rRNA from 1 species
UACGGAGGGUGCAAGCGUUAUCCGGAUUCAUUGGGUUUAAAGGGUGCGCAGGCGGGAUCUUAAGUCAGUGGUGAAAUCCCGGAGCUCAACUCCGGAACUGCCAUUGAUACUGAGAUUCUUGAAUGUGGUUGGCGUGGGCGGAAUGUGCCAUGUAGCGGUGAAAUGCUUAGAUAUGGCACAGAACACCGAUCGCGAAGGCAGCUCACGAAGCCAUUAUUGACGCUCAGGCACGAAAGCACGGGGAGCAAACCGG